GCGCCGAGAUAGGUUCAAAAAAAUGGGGGCAACAACAACAGUAGUAACAACAUCGAAGAGCUGGAGAUGAGCAAGUUAGGUACUGGCAAUGACAUCGACAAGUAAACACACUACUGUCUCAAAUGUUCUGACAUUCUUUUUCGUAUGCAAAAAUUCGAAUUUAGUUGAAUUCCCCAUGAAAUUCUCUCCGCUGCACAUCCGUUGUCGGAGCCCAUCGUCGACGUCUCGUUGACGGCGGUCACGAGCAAGAGCACCCGUUUUUGACGGGAGCUGCUCCAUACCCUGCUUCCCCUCCUCACCCCCACCCUGUAGUGGUUGGUUGCGAGAAAAAGAAUGACCGUGUACAGUUCCCGUUGGUCGCCUUGCUGCCCUGGGGCGCGAGCUCAUCCACCAGGGGUGCUGGCAGCCGUCCAAGUGGAACAUUGACGCCAAUACAAGUUGAAUCAUGGGAGCGUUGACAUGUUGAGAAAUAAUUAAGUGCGAAAUUCUAAGGCUGUAUGAUCUAUUAACAACAUGAAUUGCAUUUUUCAUCCUUACUGGAUGUUGAGCAUGGCUAGAUUAUAUUUGGCAUUAACACCAUCGGUGUGUAUGCAAAAUCCUCUUUUUUCUCAAUUAUGGUUAAUGCUAUUGUAUGAUACAUAAAAAUUUAGAUAUGAGGGCACUCUUGCUGUAUACACAUGGUAUGACUAUUCUGAAAAAGUUAAAAUUAUAAAAGCAGAUAAGUUCACAGGUUCACCGGUGGAAGUUUUAGGAAUAAAAAGAUCAAAGAAAAGAAGAGUUCAUAAAAUGGUAGUACUGUCUGCUGUUGGCUGAUGUCUCAUGUUGCCUGAAGCCCCUGCUGCUUGCUAGCUACUUGUUGUGCGUGCGCAUUUGUGUGCUGCUGCUGUUUGUUGCUGCAGCAGGGUGAUGUGUGUGAGAGAGAUAGAUAGCAAAUGGAAUUAUCUUCCACAUUGACUAACUCGUGACACACUUGGUUCAGUUUCUAAAUUUAAUCUUGUUCAAUUAGAAUUUUAAUUCAGUUCAAAGACUGUUUCUAUUUAUCUCCUCGAUGUUCAGUUUUGUGUUCUGUUGUUUGCCCCCAAUUGAUCCUUGUGUUAAUGUUUGUAUAUGUUGUGCACUUCUGAUCCCAUAGUGAAGUGAAAAAUGACAAGCGAGAUACGUACUAGUUUGGAAAGUUUCCAAGUUUGAACACAUAAACCUAAAAAAGUUCAUUGAAAAAGUUUGGUUUGCCUGUUCCGUGAAAAUGUCUUGCUAAAGAAAUAUCUCUUGUGCACUUAUUUAUUCGCCUGAAUAUUUGUUUUGAUUCUUAGGUGCGAGAUGGCGGCCGCUGACAUCUCUAAAUCCCUCUACAAACAGGUGGUUGGCUACUCCAAGCGGUAAAUGUGGUCGGAUUCAGCAGCUAGCUCUUCCUCGAGCAACCAUUUGGAGAACUUUAUUGUGUUCUUGUGGUGGUGAUUGAUUUUAGGAUCAGUAAAGUUGAUGUUGGUAGCUAACUUGCGUAUGGAACCUGCAAAUUCAAUAUUGGCAUUAGAUUCAGUUCUUGUACAAAUGUCCCAGAGUUCACAUUUAUGUGGGUAAAAGUUUAUUUUAAUUCAGCUACAGAAACCAUGCAGGUUCAGUGAUGAUGAUACCAUAAGUUCGGACAAGAAAAAAAAUAAGAAUUAAAACAAAAUACUUUAAAUUCUAUAAGUUCAAGUGCUCAUCCACACAAGGUAAUUCAAAUGGUAAAUGUACAAGUCGUAAAAUAAGAGAAGUCCAAAACAUCAUUGUAAAAAAAUGUUUAGUUCAAAAAAACCAUUUUAUUUUUGAAUAAAAUAUCAUUCAGUUUGAUGAUACAAACUAUGCAAGUACAGCGGCGAAGAUACAGUAAACCGUUGAAAACUUACGAGCAAAAAAUAUUACCAAAACACAGAGCUGGCGAGGUGCCGGCCAGCGUACACCCGGGUGCAUUAAGCUCCAAUGCCCGUGCCGGCGCCAGAGACACGAAUACUGCCUCCGCCGGAGACACCAAUGGCGCCGCUACCGCCGGAGACACCAAUGGCGCCGCCGGAGACACCAAUGGAGCCGCCUGCGCGCUGUGUGAGUUGCUGGCCGUGAAGCUGGGAACCGGGAGGCCCCUGUUGGCCGCCCGCAAUCCACGUCGUCAGCCUAUGAAUCAACGUAGGCACCAUGGCGUUGAGCGUCAUUCCAAGUUGUUCUUGCACUUGCUCUUGGACAAGCUCCGGAAUCCGCGCCACUUGUGCCUUGAGUUCUUCAACCUCGCACGUCUGGCUUUCCGAGCUGGUCUUUUUCUCCUUCUGCACACCAGCGGUAUAGUAUGACCCCCAUUUUGUGGACAAGCCUUUGCCGGCCACACGACCAGCUGAUGUCGGCUUAGUGAGCUUAUCCUUGUUUUUCAUUACGUUCAACGCCCUAUUUAAAGGGGUGUCGAAAGGGGAGCUCUUAGACGACCCCGCGCUACUGCUUUCAGUGUCCUGCGAAAGGAACGUGGACCAUUUAGAAAUAUUGGGGAUUAAUUAGAGUGCAACCAUAUGGAGCUAAUUACGCGGGGGUGUAUUCCUUACCAGAAGAAGCUCAAGCGCCCUGGUCUUCGGAUCCGUGGUAAGAUCCUUUGUUAUCGGGUCCUCCUUGUACCGGGCCCUGACAUAGUUCCUGGUCUGCUUGUCACCGUUGUAUUUCUCGAAGCGGGGCGGUAGGCCUUGCUCGGCACGCUCCACGUCCUCCUUGUCCCAUAUAGGCUCCGCCACUCUGUAACCGCCGGGACCGAGUUUGUGUUCCCCUAAGUUCAACUCCCGCAUUUCUUUCCCCCACUGACUUGAUGCGGAGGUUGCACUGCUCUCGCACUUGAUCUUGAACUCCUUGUACUCAUCUUCGCUCAUCAAAGGAUAUUUCACCUUGAUCUUCACAUAACUAUCACCUUUAUCAAUCAUUCUCUUCACCGCGCUUUUCCAAGUAGACAGGCCGUGCUCAUCUUCGUGAGUGCGGCACUGUUCACUUUAUUCCCUGAGAGGCGUGUGUUUUCAAAUUCGGCGGGGAACUUGUAUUGUUCGUGCAGCUUCGUGAAGAGGAGGUUGCGCAAAUUCCCUCGGUCCUUAUNNNNNNNNNNNNNNNNNNNNNNNNNNNNNNNNNNNNNNNNNNNNNNNNNNNNNNNNNNNNNNNNNNNNNNNNNNNNNNNNNNNNNNNNNNNNNNNNNNNNUAAACCUUGUAAAAUAAGAGAGAAUAGCCAUAAGUAUUGUGACAUAACAUGUAAUAACAGCCCAUAAUGCAAUAAAUAUCAAUAUAGAAGCAUGAUGCAAAAUGGACGUAUCGGCCGGCGCCAUUACUGCCUUGAGCCGGGCGAAAGCAUGGAGAGCAGAGCUAGACCCGGCAGAGCUGGCCACUGGCUGCCCGAGCUAUAAGGAGGACGGGUCUCCCUUUACCAUAGAGGACUUUGCUGUAUGCGUGGGGGAGGUGCGUCCAUUAGCCAGCAAACUGGCCGAAGAGACUAACCUUUCUCGAUAUCAGGUGGCUUAUACGGAAGAAAACUCAAGAGUAAAAGCUCUGACUUAUGAAGUUGUUGAUCUAACCCCACCAGCACGUAAGCAUACCUUUGCCCCUAAAGUUGACCCGUCUGAACUCAUAGAUGACGAAGCCGAAUUCCAAGCUUUAACGGGCAUCAACUGGAAAACAUCUGAUUUCCAGACAAUAGAUGGAGGCAAAGAACCAGCACAGGCUAACCCAGAAUCAUCCACUCAGCAUGAGCACAAUUGAUCUGAAGGGCGGCUCUCUAACCAUGGCGCCAUAUUUUGUUGAAAAAACUUUGAACCACAUGGGCCUGAUGAUAGCCUUGUAGUAGGCUAGUUAAAAACAAUGAUCUUCCAUGCCAUCGUGCAUAUUUUGUCGUUUGGAUAUGUUAACCGACGUUCUGAUGCUUAAAGACCCAUAGGUUGUACUUCAUCACCUUUAUCCAUCAAACGGGUUAUAACAAGUAUUGUUGUCUGACCUGCACCCAAGUGAACAAUAUGUGCCCUGACAGCUUACACCCGGGUGGGUCAUAAUAUUCAAAAUAGUAUAUUCUGGCGACUUAAAGUCUAUAACCAGGGCGGGUUAUUAAGCCUCGCAUUUUCACAUAACAGGCAAACCAUACCUGUGAACGUAGUUCAUACUGCCGGCUUACACCACCAUAUGAGUGAGGAUAAUUUCAAUUGCACAAUCAAAGUGUACUAGCGACUUAAAGUCCAAAGCCAGGCUGGGUUAGCAGAACCUUUAAAUAUGCUCAAAUAUGCGGGCGACUUAACAUCCAAAACCAGGGUGGGUUAGCAAAAACCCAUAACUAUGCUCAAACAUGAGUCAUAAACAUCAAGGCUACAUGGCCUGAAUUUUUUUCAAAUGAUAUAUCAAUACGGAACAAAGACAUGAAUUCAAAAAGCUGUUCAGAAAAGAACAAAACAAAAAAAC
rnacentral:lncRNA from 1 species